CGUUGAACAUGUUGUGUGUACUA
rnacentral:siRNA from 1 species